UUAAUAAAAACCUCUAAGGUUAUACAUCUACCUAAUUCCCAAACAUAUUCUCAUUUCAGUAGAAAAGUUUAAAAGAGAAAAAAAGCAAUUAAUGAGCCACCUCGUGGUAUAUAGAUAGAAAUAUCUAGAUAAUCACACUCGUGUUUGAUUUGGCUUGAUUGAUUAAUUAAUUAAACAUUUAUUGAGCCCAGGCCGUGCUAGCGGCUGCUUUGCCUUGUCUGAUAGUCAGGGACCUGAAAGGUAAUUUGCAAACGUUGGUCCUUCCUGCAAAGAGCACUGGGAGAGGCGAUCAUGAUGAGCAAUCUCCCUCAUCAGUUGAGCUUGCGUUCUAACACGGGAGGCGGAUGAUGAACAGGAGACUACAGAGCAGCUAGCCCCUUCUUUCAGUUACGUGACUAUGGCUGUGAAGAGACACCAUGUCCAGGGCAACUUCCAGAAGAAAAAGUUUGUUGGGUG
ensembl:lincRNA Gm28514 predicted gene 28514